CGUGCGGCCCGCGAGCUGAGCUUCGGGAAGGGCCUGCGUUCCCCGGGUGGGGAAGCUGGAGUCCCGAGGCUCAAAGGUGGCGUAGUAGCGACUGUGCGGGGAUUGCAGCUCCGGGUGUUUGAGUCUCCUGCUCCGGUAUUGCUCCCCCGUGUUCCUGUCCCCGCCCUCCGAGGUUGCUCCGCAGCGGUCGGUGCCUCGGUGCGCAGGCUUGCGGCCGCCCGGAGCCCCGGCCCUGCGCGUCCUGGGUGGGUCCCUGUGGACGCCGGGAGCGCCCGAACCUACUGCGCGUGUCUUCCCACCUUCCGAGUGUGUCUCCAGGCUCGCGGGUAGACCUUGGUGUCGUGUUGACCCUGUGGGCAGAUACAGUCCUGAGCUGAGAUCGGUUUCAAACUAAGCAGCUUGUACAAGACACCUUGUUGUCUCAGAACACACGCUGCCUCUUGGAACCGUCCUUCUCCAGUCCUCCGUGGAGCCCACAGCAGCUAUUGCUAUUGUGUAGUACAGAGACUCUGCUCCUUAAGAAGAUCAGAAGGAAAUUGAAGAGUUGCUGAAUGAAGAAGUAAAAGAAUAAAAGAAGGGCUUUACAAGAAUCCUGUGAAGAAUGUGACAUGAAGAGUUACCUCAAUUUUAUAUAGUUGAAGCUUAAAUUUUUUUUUUCUUUAAGGUUGUGAUGUAGCCCAGGAGAUUUCAGAGAUUUUAUUGAAACAAAAUUCCUAGUAGAUAAGAUUCUACUAGUUUCCCAGUGUUGUAUUUUUUUUUUAAUGAAUCAUAUUCCUGUGGAAGGGAACUUUGAUUCUCUUUAAAAAACCUCCUUUGUCUCCUUGUUGCAAUGAAAUUCUUUUAACAGAACACAAGCUUCUUUCAUUACUCAAAGGGAGAUAUUUAAGAUAUAAAUGACCUUGAGAGAGGUAGCCCACCAAUAGAGUUUACAGAAGGAGUAAAUGAUUGAUACCAGAUUUCCCUGAGGAUGUGUUUACCAGGAGGCUAAAUGAACAGGAUUUUAAAUUUUUUCAAAGGUGAUAAGGAUGGAGCUGAUGGAAAAGCGGAGGAACACAGAGGGAGUACAUAUGAGAUCCUUCAUAAUUUUGAUUUAAAUGAGUGCUUUGAACAGAUUUCAUUUUGGGGUUGAAACAAGAAAAAGCGAUCACCUUGCAUUGAUAGUAAAUUACUUCUUAUGAGUUUAAGGUAUACCCAUGGAUGAGUUUUAACUUGUUUAAUUUUCAGUAUGGUUAUCAACUAAAUAUUAAAUUACUCUCUAUGUAUUGUUUCAAAAAGAUGAUUAUUUUUCUGGGUUUAAUCGUAGUGUACUGUUUGGUUAUUCUUAAUUGAUUACUACUUGAGUGAUGAUCUAAAUCUAAUCACAAGAGCAAGCCAGUGGUUUAUAAUUUACAGAGUGACCAAAACUAAAAUGGAGAAGGUUCAGGUUAAAGCGUAGUUUAUCCUAAUUGAAGUAUGUUGUAUAUACUUGCAAUUAUGUGAUAGCAGAGGGUUAGGAAAACGUUUUAUAUCUGAAGGGAACAAUGAUACUGGUUUACCCGACCCACGGCACUGUGAGUGCAAGAUUCAUUCACAUAAAAAAUGAUCCAUGAAUGUAUAGUUAACAAUUGUUUCUGAUCAUGCCCACUUCUUGAACAGCUACCCCUCUUGAGGAACAAUGAAGGAGCCAAUAUUUACUAAGCUUUCCCUUUUUUAGGGAUAACUUACUUAUUUUUAAAAGAAAAUUAUCACUCUUGAAAAAUUUUGCUUUGUGUGUUUAAGUAUUUUAUUUCUCAUUUAUGAACUCCUCAGACACCGGACAUAUUUUUAUCAAGCUUCUUAUAUAGCAUCUAAUAUAAAUUAAUGUAAGCAUGUAUCAUCUCUAAGGCACAACACCCCAUGAAGAAGACUCCCCAUGGAGUAUCUGGUAGUUCAUAAACACAAAAACCAGACACUUUAUUCACAGCACCACCUUGUUCUUUUCACCACAUGGUCUUUUUGAUUAAGCACGAGCCCCUAGAGGCAUAAGUGCAAUAUUUGGUAAACAGAAACUGACAUAUUUACAUAAGAACAGCUCAUUUUCAUAGAAGUCUCCACAAACAAUCUAGAAAUUUUAGAAAAUAUUCAGGUGGCCUCAGAGCAUUUUAAAGUUAGGAAUAUUUUCUUCAAAACGUUUCUAUUUUCCCUUCACUAUUAAAAGCCAUUUUCUAAGGAUAUUGUCUCAGGACCACUUCUCCACUAGGCUGUAAGCUCCAUGAAGGGCCUCUCCCUGUCUUGUUCACCAAUGAUUCCUGAGAGCCCAGCAAGGGAUCAAAUCAUAUUUCAUGAAUGCUUGAAUUUGUAGCUCAUGACUUAUUAAUCUAUAUGAUCAGUAUUUCUUAUUGACAACUUACAAUUGGUUACAUGUUUACCAAUAGAGACAUUUCUCAUAUCAGAACAAAACUUUUAAAAUGUAUUCUAAUAUUUUCAUAUUGAAAAUGUAAAAAAAAAACAACAACAAAAUGUGGUCCAGAGAGGCUCAGAUACUCAUGAAAGGCACAACACUUGACUUAAAACCACCCUCUUCCACCCCGCUCAAUGUUCAUUGAACUACCGUCUGCCUCUCCACCUUUAGGAUUUU